GCCUUCGGGUUGUAAAGCACUUUCAGCGGGGAGGAAGGCGUUAAGGUUAAUAACCUUGGCGAUUGACGUUACCCGCAGAAGAAGCACCGGCUAACUCCGUGCCAGCAGCCGCGGUAAUACGGAGGGUGCAAGCGUUAAUCGGAAUUACUGGGCGUAAAGCGCACGCAGGCGGUCUGUCAAGUCGGAUGUGAAAUCCCCGGGCUCAACCUGGGAACUGCAUUCGAAACUGGCAGGCUAGAGUCUUGUAGAGGGGGGUAGAAUUCCAGGUGUAGCGGUGAAAUGCGUAGAGAUCUGGAGGAAUAC
rnacentral:rRNA from 1 species